CGUUGCGCCCCCGAAAAUCCCAGCCCCUCCCCCUCAACGGCUACAUCCCCUCCUCCGCCGCUCCGAUCUGAUCCCCCCAUCCAUGGCCGCCGCCGCCGCCCCGCCGACGCCGCGCCCGGAUCUGAUGCCGCCGCCGCCGCCGCCCCCUCCGCCCGUCCCGCCGACGACCGAGCGCCGCCCGCGCCGCCGCGCGCGGGAGGUCAGCUCCCGGUACCUCUCCACGCCCGUCCCCGCCACCCCGCGCCUCUCCACGGCCUCCUCCACGCGGUCGCGCUCCCCGACCCCGUCCCCGCGCGGCCGCCAGCGGGUGGCCACGCCCUUCGCCAACGAGAACCACCCGCCGCCGCCGCCGCCCACGGGCACCGUCGCGCGCAGGCGGGCCGUGCAGAAGCUGUUCGAGGAAACGGGCGCCUGCAACCCGCGCGCCUCGGUGGGCUCCAACUCCUCCGGCGCCACCGCGGCCACUCCGCGGCCGCUCCCGCGCUCCGCCAGCGGACCGGCCGCGCCCACCGCCAGGAGGGGGUACCCGCGCCUCCCGACGCCCGCGCGAACCGGCUCGUACCCUUCCGCCGCCGACGCCGCUGCGGACUCCGACGCCGCGUCGUGCUGCUCGUCGUCCGACACGGCGUCCACGGUCACCGACUUCUCCGAGGCCGAGGGCGGGCUCGGGGUGGCCCCAGCCUCGUCGUGCGAGAGCCCGCCGCUGCUCGGCCCGGCGUCCUGCCGGGGCGGGCGCCUCUCGUCAGAGCUCCGGUCGUCGGUGCCGGAGUCGGGCGGAUCCGCGCGGGCGUCCAACCCGCUCUGCUACCGCUCUCUCAACUCAGCGCUGUCUAUCUCAACGGCGACGACAGGGAAGCUGACGACGGCAGCGAGGCCACCACAGCCGCAAGGGGCAAAGGCAGCCGAGCUGAAGAAGGCGGCGAUUGUGGGGGGUAGGAAGGUCGCGGGGAAGCAAGAGGACGUGUACCAGCUGCGGCUGCUGGACAAUCGGUACCUCCAGCAUAGGUACCUCAACGCCCGGGCUGAAGCGGCAGCCAAGGCCAAGGCUGCUGCUGCAGAGAAAUCUCUCUAUGGACUCGCGGAGAGGCUCAUGGGUCUACAUGAAUCCGUUGCCGAGAAGAGGGCAGAUGUGGACAAAAUGAGACGGGAGCAGAGACUGUUCUCCGUAGUGAAUGUUCAGGUCCCAUACUUGGAUCAAUGGACUGAUAUCGAGGGGGAACAUUCGAGUUGUCUUGGAGGGGUAACAACAGCUCUGCAUAAUGCCUCCCUACGAUUACCAGUCAUUGGUAAUGUCAAGGCAAACUGUGAGGAAAUUACAGACGUGCUUACCUCUGCUGCUCAACUGUUGGAACCACUAUCACCUUGCGUUGGAAAUUUCUUGCCAAAGGUCGAAGAAAUUGAUGAUGUGGCCAAGAAUCUUGCGCAAGUUAUUGCAACUGAAAGAACAUUAAUAGAAGAGUGUGGUAAUCUGUUAUACCAAGCACAUAACCUUCAGAUGCGGGGGUACAGUUUGCGGAGUCAAUUGAUGCAGCUAAAACAAACUGAAGCAACAUGAAAAAACACAAGGAAAAGGAAAAACACGCUGCCAGGUCUUUCCUCCGACUGAGGGGGAGCAAACUUUGCUCCAGCGGUGGGUAUCGAGUGUGAGGAGGUGAUUCUGAUCAUACAUAACAAAAGGGCAGAGGAUUUGACGAUGAAACUGGGUCAGAAUAGAUGGUGAACAGCCGUCACCUCCGGCCUCCGCACUGUGCGUCUCCGCGCCCCCAACCAGCUCACAGCCACGACCCCCUGCCGUCGGCCGUUGCGUAUUGUUCAGCCAGCUGCCGGCAAGCCUCGCGUGCGACCCUGGUUCCUGCUGUGCAGCACCCUAUGCAACCGCAUCAGCGGCCAACAGGGCCAUCGCCAUCCACGGUAGAAGACUCCACCACCCGCUGCACCGAACCUAUGCCCGGCCACUGAUCUACUCAUUUAUUCCUGUUGCUAAUUCUUGUGUUAGACUAUUAUUAGUAGAAUAGUAAUUGUUGAAUAUGUUUGUGUGCUUGUGCUGUGCCUAACUGAUUGAAUGUCUAUGAACUGUGAUGAAAACUCGGGUAAUCGGGAUUACCCGGUACCCAAACCCAAAA